rnacentral:lncRNA from 1 species
AGACGCUCCCUCCAGGAUGUUUCUGACUCCUCCUGAUGUGAACGUGACGGUUUAUCGGCGCUGCAACACGACCUGUGACUCCUCUACAGGCUUUACUGUGUGUGUGUGUGUGUGUGUGUGUGUGUGUGUGUGUGUGUGUGUGUGUGUGUGUGUGUGUGUGUGUGUGUGUGUGUGUGUGUGUGUUUGGGAUUCCGACUGCCUCUCUGGAUCUCAGCCUGCUGCAGACCUGAACAGCAUUUUAACAUCCUCACAGCCUCACAGAGCUCUUUUCUACCAGAAUGAGGAGACAAAUCUACCAGGUUACAGCCUGUACGUUCAGCGUUCAGACUCUUUAUGCUCAAUGUUCAUUUUCAGUCAGUCACAUUAAGAGAGACGGGAUUUGUCUUUGUGCAGAUUUCUUUGAAGGGGAUUACUUUGAGUUGGGUGAGUCAUUUUUCAGGGUCUGGCACAGCAUAAAGAAGGAAAAUGGGAAAAGGGGCGAGGGUCAGAUUUGAACCCGGGUGCAAGCUUCCUCGACUUCAGCCUCUGGAGUCUGCUGAUUAACAACUAAAUCCGGGUUCACACAAAGAAAUGUAAAACUUCAACGUACUUAGAAAACAAAGAGAGUCUAAACAACGAACAAUGGGGGAUCUCACAGUUCAGAGUGAUAAACUCAGUUAAUCCUGUACAACUACACCAGAUUAAUCCAUAAAUACACUGACCAAAAAUAUCAAUGCAACACUUUUGUUUAUGCUCCCAUUUUUUCUGAGCUGAACUCAAAAGAUCUAAGACUUAAUCUAUGUACAAAAAACACCUAUUACUCUCAAAUGUUGUUGACAAAUUUGUCUAAAUCUGUGUUAGUGAGCACUUCUCCUUUGCUGAGAUAAUCCAUCUACCCCACAGGUGUGGCUAAUCAAGAUGCUAAUUAGACAGCAUGAUUAUUGCACAGGUGUAACUUAGACUGGCCACAAUAACAGGGGACUCUAAAAGGGGCAGUUUUACUGUAUUGGGAGCGUAGUUAGAAAACCAGUUAUGUGGUGUGACCACUAUUUGCUUCACGCAAUGCAACACAUCUCCUCCACAUAAAGUUGAUCAGGUUGUUGAUCGUAGUCUAUGGAAUGUUGGUCCACUCCUCUUCAAUGGCUGCGUGAAGUUGCUGGAUAUUGGCAGGAACUGGAACACACUGUCGUAUACGCUGAUCCAGAGCAUCCCAAACAUGCUCAAUGGGUGACAUGCCCAGUGAGUAUGCUGGCCAUGCAAGAACUGGGAUGUUUUCAGCUUCAAGGAAUUGUGUACAGGUCCUUGCAACAUGGGGAAAUGUAUUAUCAUGCUGCAACAUAGGGCGAUGGUCACGGAUGAAUGGCUCAACAAUGGGCCUCAGGAUCUCGUCACGAUAUCUCAGUGCAUUCAAAAUGCAAUCAAUAAAAUGCAACUGUGUUUGUUGUCCGUAACAUAUGCCUGCUCAUACCACAACCCCACCAUCAACAUGGGCCACUGGAUUCACAACACUGACAUCAGCAAACCUCUCACCCACAUGAUGCCAAACGAACUGUUUUCCAUCUGCCCUCUACAGUGACUACAGAGAUUUGUCCGUGAAGAGAACACCUCCCCAAAGUGCCAGAUGCCAUCAAAUUUGAGCAUUUGCCCACUCAAUUCGGUCAUGACGAUGAGUUGCAGUAAGGUCGAGACCCAGAUGAGGAUGAUGAGCAUGCAGAUGUGCUUCCCUAAAACGGUUUCUGAUAGUUUGUGCAGAAAUUGUUUGGUUACGCAAACCAAUUGUUGCAGCAACUGCCCGGAUGGCUGGUCUCAGACGAUGUUGGAGGUAAGAUACUGGAUGUCGAGGUCCUGGGCUGGUGUGGUUAUACGCCAAAUUCUCUGAAACGCCUUUAGAGACGAGCAACAGCUCAGGUGGACAUUCCUGCAGUCAGCAUACCAAUUGCAUGCUCCCUCAAAACUUGUGACAUCUGUGGCAUUGUGCUGUGUGAUAAAACUGCCCCUUUUAGAGUAGCCUGUUAUUGUGGACAGUCUAAGGCACACCUGUGCAAUAAUCAUGCUGUCUAAUCAGCAUCUUGAUAUGCCACACCUGUGAGGUAGAUGGAUUAUCUCAGCGAGGGAGACGUGCUCAAUAACACAGAUUUAGACAAAUUUGUCAACAAUAUUUGAGAGAAAAUAGGUCUUCUGUGUGAUUAGAAAUAGUCUUAGAUCUUUGAGUUCAGCUCAUGAAAAAUCAGGGCAAAUAUUAAAGUGCUACAUUUAUAUUUUUGUUCAGUGUAAUUUACUGAUAAAGCCUUUAACCUUAAAAAUAACAGGCUGUGUGGUUCCAGGAGGAGAGGUAUUUCUCAAACAGGUCAAACACUGGACUCUCUUCCUUAUUCAGCUCCAUCCAAACAGACCUGAACAUGUCUCAGGUAACUCAGUCAUUUCUGACAUUGCUAUUGGUCAACUCGGUGUCCCACAGUGACCCUGGUUUGUCCACACUCUCUCUUCUCAGGUGUUUUUUUCUCUCUUCCACACAGCUGUUCUUCUUUUUCUUCUUGAGUCUCCUUUCUUCUCCAUCUGUCUCCACCAGUUGUCUUUCUUCCAUCCCUCGACCACCUCUCUCCUCCCUCGUGUCCAGCUCCUCUCUUUUUAGUUUUCCCCUCUCUCUCUCUCUUUCUCACAGCCUGUCUUCCUGAAGUUUCUCCCUCUCCCCCUCUUCCUGUCGGUCUGUUUUUGCCUCCUCUGUUUCCUCAAAUGUCCUCUGAUUCCCUCCUCGUCGUCUUCAUCUUCCUUUCUUCUCUCCUCCCAUCCCUUGCCGGUGCUUUCUCCCACUCUCCUCUUUCAUUCCCCUCCUCUUCCAUCACGUCCGUCCUCCCUUUCGUCUCAUGUCUCCUGUUUCCUGCCUUCUGAAACAUCAGCGCACACAGCGGGCUGUCGAAACCACCCGCAGAUUUUACCCACAAUUCACCUCUCCUAAUAAUGAGGACGGCGGGCGCUGGCGGAGCGGGUUCAAACACAAAAACAGCAAUUAAAGAGGUUUAUGAGUCAGUUUUGGUGAAAGGUGAAAGCAGGGUGGUGGUGUGUGAUGCAGCAGUCAGCUGAGUGUUUUCCUCUGAUCUCUGUGUGUGUGUGUGUGUGUGUGUGUGUGUGUGUGUGUGUGUGUGUGUGUGUGUGUGUGUGUGUGUGUGUGUGUGUGUGUGUGUGUGCGUGUGUGUGUGUGUGUGUGUGUGUGUGUGUGAUGAUAAUUCCCACACACACUUUUAUCCUCUUGGCGCUUCUGCUGUAGCGUCUGAUCAUAUCUCCAAA